UUUCCAGACUCCUACGGGAGGCAGCAGUGGGGGAUAUUGCACAAUGGAGGGAACUCUGAUGCAGCGACGCCGCGUGAGGGAAGAAGGUUUUCGGAUUGUAAACCUCUGUCUUCGGUGACGAAACGAGACGGUAGCCGAGGAGGAAGCCCCGGCUAACUACGUGCCAGCAGCCGCGGUAAUACGUAGGGGGCAAGCGUUAUCCGGAUUUACUGGGUGUAAAGGGGGCGCAGACGGCGAUGCAAGCCAGGAGUGAAAGCCCGGGGCCCAACCCCGGGACUGCUCUUGGAACUGCGUGGCUGGAGUGCAGGAGGGGCAGGCGGAAUUCCUGGUGUAGCGGUGAAAUGCGUAGAUAUUGGGAAGAACACCGGCGGCGAAGGCGGCCUUCUGGGCCACGACUGACGCUGAGGCGCGAAAGCUAGGGGAGCGAACAGGAUUAGAUACCCGGGUAG
rnacentral:rRNA from 1 species